AAUGUUAAAAAAUUUAACAGUCCAGGGUCUCCUCGCUCGCCCUUGGAGCCCGGCUCACCUUGCGCUCCCUGCGGCGCCCCACCACGGUUCAGCAAAAGCCAUGAAAUGACGCGAACACCACAUCACAAACAAUUAAAACAUAUAAUGUAUAAAUAAACACUGUGUAUGUAUAUAAUGAUAGAGGCAAUAAAUAAUAAUGAUUCUGAGAUCCUAAAUAUAUGUGAUGACCGCCUCACCUGUCCCUAGCACGCGGUAGGGAUAGGUGAGGCGGGCGCGGCCGUCGUCACUCACCUUCAUGCCGUCGAGUCCGGGCGGGCCCUGCGGAACAACCACACAUGUCAACCACUGCGCUGCCGAACAACUUAUCGCGACUCAUAUAUGCAAACAUGCACCGCAUACGUGCCAAUUGGAAACAUCAUCACGUCCAGCAGGGAAGGAUAUAGUUGCCUUUACACAAUUGAAGGUUGAAUGAGUAACAGGUACAUACGGUUUCGUGUCAUCGUCGUCAUGCAAGUGAUGCAGCGCCAUGAAAAGUUCCAGUCGCAGAGAGUGACUUCGGCGAGAACGAGCGGCGAAAAGCAGCGAGGCGCGCCGCCGGCGCCGUGACCGCUCGCUCACGCUCUUAAUUCGUGCUCGACAACUAUGUCUUCUAUUAUCCUUUCCGGUAUGUACAGGUGGCGUGACGUGACGUGAUGGACGCGAGUCUAGUGAUGGCGAGCAGCGGCGCGUGUCAGGCCGCCGGCGGCGCGAGAGAGCCAGCCCCGGCGCCGCUGCAACAGUUGCAGCCGCCGCGGCGAGCAAGCGAAGCGCAACGGUACUGGCUCUACGUAAAUCCUUAUAGAGUGGGCAGGCGGCGCCGGCGGCGGAUGCGGCGGCGGGGCCGAGGGCGGGGGUGGUGGCCGGGCGGCGGCGGCGGCGGCGGCCACAUGUCACUACGUGAACGCGAAGUCGGGCGGCCAGCGGUUCUCCUGCGCCCACACCGCGACCCGGCUUUCUGUACUUCUGGUCGGGAACCGCCGCCGCGACGUCGCCGAGAACAUGCAACAUACGAAACCCCAGCGAUACGUUACUUGUGCGCAGCGCAGUGUGCGUGGAGCGGACACGGGCAGUUGGGAAGGACAAGUGGUGGUAUUCACAAAACUACAUUACCACAUAUUAGGAACAUAGCAAGUGUGGCGUGGUGAGUUCGGGCUUCGAAGCUUUUCUAAUGUCUACGAACACGACAGAGCAGCCGCAACCCGCAAACGUCAAUAAUAAAGCCUGUUAAUCUAUUAAUUGAAGCGAAACGAGUCCGCGGUUGUCAUUUGUACCACAAUUAAUUUGGCCCCAGAAACAUUCAACGCGGGGUUCAGUCACUAGCGUACACCGUGCGCGCACAUGCUUCAUGCAGUUUAAAGUCAACAGGGAGCUUCCAGACGGUCAGUUUUCUAUAGUUUCGCCUUUUAGAAACAGAAAUAGAAAUGAGGCUCGCGAGGACAAGUCGAAAUUCUACUAGCGAUGUCGUCGCUGCAAAACCUCAACAUAGAAUAGAAUAGAGGCUGCAGAUUCGCGCGACUCCUAGAAUUCUUGGCGAGGAACAUACGUUUCGGUACUUUUCAACGGUGACAACGUUAAUAGAAUGUCGCUUCGUCUGAAGAUCUCGUACAGAGUCGCUUUUUAGAAAUAGAGAGAGAUGGCGGGCGAAGGAAGUAGGAGAUGAUGAGCGGGUGGAUGCCGGCGCGGUUACCCGCGUAGUUACCCGCUUGCCGCGCUUGCCGCGCGCGCCCUUGUCGCCGGGCGGGCCGGCCGGCCCCGCCGCGCCCGCCUCGCCGCGCUCCCCGCGCGCGCCCUCCGCUCCUUCAACCACCAACCACACCAUUGUCGCCACCUGCACUCUGCGCCUCGCCUCACUCGCUACGCCCUACACCCUCACCGCAGCGCGCUGUUCACUUUACGGAUACUGAAACUCUAACGAGCGAUUAGGAGAACGAAGCAUAUAGUACUUCGACGUAGGAGAAGGAGAACUUGAAGUGAAACCCUAAGACGAACCAUCCGGCCUAGAUAUCAGGAACGACAAGCAUGCCGGGUCGGCGCGGUUCCGGCGGUCACGGAGAUAGUAUAAAUUAAGCGGGCAGUUACCGGGCGGGCCCGGCGGACCCGGCGGGCCUUCGAUG
rnacentral:misc_RNA from 1 species